GCCUCGUGAUGGGUUUUAUCUUUUUAAAAUUGCAAGCAUGAUUGCUGCUAAAGUUGUAAUGUUUCUUCCUCGAAAUGUUAAUUUGGCCCAAUUGGUGGAGCUUUCUCUGUUAGCUGAUCCUCCAUGGAACCUGGAGGUCGAGAAUAAUUAUUUAAAUGGAAAGCUGAAAUCAAUCACGGCUUACUUCGAUAAGACUACUACAGAUUAAGGUUUCAUUUGGGUAGGAUUUUUUACUGCUUUUAAAGUAGUUUUUAGCAUAAAAAUUUUAAUUUUUUUACUAUAAAGUUGCUUUAAGAAGCAGUAAGAAAUCCGUCCCAAACAAAACCUAAAUUAUAACAAUUUUUUUGUAAAUUUUAUCUACCGGGCAAUUUUAUGUGUGAAACGUAGUUCUCUUUUGGCUUGUAUUUAUUAAAAGGCAUGCUUACAAGCACAGUAGACAUUGCCGAUUUGUUUAUGUAUAUAGUGUGACAUUGAUUUAUGUAAUGUAAUCAUGUAAGAAAUAUUGCAUACAUUUCAAAAUUUAUAUCUUUUACAUCAUAAAGUUUGUUUGUUUAUUUUAAAA